rnacentral:rRNA from 1 species
AAUGAACGCUGGCGGCAGGCCUAACACAUGCAAGUCGAACGGAUCCUUCGGGAUUAGUGGCGGACGGGUGAGUAACGCGUGGGACAUACCCAAAAGUACGGGAAAGCCUCGGGAAACUGGGAGUAAUACCGUAUGGGGCCGGAAGAGGAAAGAUUUAUCGCCUUUGGAUUGGCCCGCGUUGGAUUAGGUAGUUGGUGGGGUAAUGGCCUACCAAGCCGACGAUCCAUAGCUGGUUUGAGAGGAUGAUCAGCCACACUGGGACUGAGACACGGCCCAGACUCCUACGGGAGGCAGCAGUGGGGAAUCUUAGACAAUGGGGGAAACCCUGAUCUAGCCAUGCCGCGUGAUCGAUGAAGGCCUUAGGGUUGUAAAGAUCUUUCAGGUGGGAAGAUAAUGACUGUACCACCAGAAGAAGCCCCGGCUAACUCCGUGCCAGCAGCCGCCGCCG